rnacentral:rRNA from 1 species
GAUGAACGCUAGCGACAGGCUUAACACAUGCAAGUCGAGGGGCAGCGGGGUGUAGCAAUACACCGCCGGCGACCGGCGCACGGGUGAGUAACGCGUAUGCAACUUGCCUAUCAGAGGGGGAUAACCCGGCGAAAGUCGGACUAAUACCGCAUGAAGCAGGGGUCCCGCAUGGGGAUAUUUGCUAAAGAUUCAUCGCUGAUAGAUAGGCAUGCGUUCCAUUAGGCAGUUGGCGGGGUAACGGCCCACCAAACCGACGAUGGAUAGGGGUUCUGAGAGGAAGGUCCCCCACAUUGGUACUGAGACACGGACCAAACUCCUACGGGAGGCAGCAGUGAGGAAUAUUGGUCAAUGGGCGUAAGCCUGAACCAGCCAAGUCGCGUGAGGGAUGAAGGUUCUAUGGAUCGUAAACCCCUUUUAUAAGGGAAUAAAGUGCGGGACGUGUCCCGUUUUGUAUGUACCUUAUGAAUAAGGAUCGGCUAACUCCGUGCCAGCAGCCGCGGUAAUACGGAGGAUCCGAGCGUUAUCCGGAUUUAUUGGGUUUAAAGGGUGCGUAGGCGGCCUUUUAAGUCAGCGGUGAAAGUCUGUGGCUCAACCAUAGAAUUGCCGUUGAAACUGGGGGGCUUGAGUAUGUUUGAGGCAGGCGGAAUGCGUGGUGUAGCGGUGAAAUGCUUAGAUAUCACGCAGAACCCCGAUUGCGAAGGCAGCCUGCCAAGCCAUGACUGACGCUGAUGCACGAAAGCGUGGGGAUCAAACAGGAUUAGAUACCCUGGUAGUCCACGCAGUAAACGAUGAUCACUAGCUGUUUGCGAUACAAUGUAAGCGGCACAGCGAAAGCGUUAAGUGAUCCACCUGGGGAGUACGCCGGCAACGGUGAAACUCAAAGGAAUUGACGGGGGCCCGCACAAGCGGAGGAACAUGUGGUUUAAUUCGAUGAUACGCGAGGAACCUUACCCGGGUUUGAACGCAUUUCGACCGCUCUGGAAACAGAGCCUCUAGCAAUAGCGAUUUGCGAGGUGCUGCAUGGUUGUCGUCAGCUCGUGCCGUGAGGUGUCGGCUUAAGUGCCAUAACGAGCGCAACCCUUGCCACUAGUUACUAACAGGUUAGGCUGAGGACUCUGGUGGGACUGCCAGCGUAAGCUGCGAGGAAGGCGGGGAUGACGUCAAAUCAGCACGGCCCUUACAUCCGGGGCGACACACGUGUUACAAUGGCGUGGACAAAGGGAUGCCACCUGGCGACAGGGAGAGAAUCCCCAAAACCACGUCUCGAGUUUCGGAAUCGGAGUCUGCGAACCCGAACUCCGUAAAGCUGGAUUUCGCUUAGUUAAUCGCGCAUUCAGCCAUGAGCGCGAUGAAUGACGUUUCCCGGAGCCU